rnacentral:rRNA from 1 species
UACGAAGGGGGCUAGCGUUGUUCGGAAUUACUGGGCGUAAAGGGCGCGUAGGCGGCGUGUCAAGUCAGGCGUGAAAGCCCCGGGCUCAACCUGGGAACCGCGCUUGAGACUGGCAUGCUCGAGUUCGGGAGAGGAUGGUGGAAUUCCCAGUGUAGAGGUGAAAUUCGUAGAUAUUGGGAAGAACACCGAUGGCGAAGGCGGCAUCCUGGACCGGCAUUGACGCUGAGGCGCGAAAGCCAGGGGAGCAAACGGG